rnacentral:rRNA from 1 species
AGAGUUUGAUCAUGGCUCAGGACGAACGCNGGCGGCGUGCUUAAUACNUGCAAGUCGAGCGAGGUUACUGUUUUGGAUCCCUUUCGGGGUGAAGAAGCUUUAACCUAGCGGCGGACGGGUGAGUAACGCGUGGGUAACNUACCCCAAAGUCCGGGAUAACAGCGGGAAACCGCUGCUAAUACCGGANNCCUUUACCUUGGGGCAUCUUGAGGUAAAGAAAGGUAACGCUUUGGGAUGGGCCCGCGUCCCAUUAGCUAGUUGGUGAGGUAACGGCUCACCANNGCGACGAUGGGUAGCCGGCCUGAGAGGGUGGACGGCCACACUGGGACUGAGACACGGCCCAGACUCCUACGGGAGGCAGCAGUAGGGAAUAUUGCGCAAUGGACGGAAGUCUGACGCAGCGACGCCGCGUGAGCGAUGAAGGUCUUCGGAUCGUAAAGCUCUGUCCUUGGGGAAGAAGGUCUUCGGACUUGACGGUACCCAAGAAGAAAGCCCCGGCUAACUACGUGCCAGCAGCCGCGGUAAUACGUAGGGGGCGAGCGUUGUCCGGAAUUACUGGGCGUAAAGGGUGCGUAGGCGGCCCUUUAAGUCGGAUGUGAAAGCCCGCGGCUUAACCGCGGAAUGGCAUUCGAAACUGGAGGGCUUGAGUGUCGGAGAGGGUAGUGGAAUUCCCAGUGUAGCGGUGAAAUGCGUAGAUAUUGGGAGGAACACCAGUGGCGAAGGCGACUACCUGGACGAUAACUGACGCUGAGGCACGAAAGCUAGGGGAGCAAACAGGAUUAGAUACCCUGGUAGUCCUAGCCGUAAACGAUGGGUACUAGGUGUGGGUGGUUUCGAUACCAUCCGUGCCGUAGUUAACGCAUUAAGUACCCCGCCUGGGGAGUACGUGCGCAAGCAUGAAACUCAAAGGAAUUGACGG